CAAUCAUUCGUUUUAGUUAUUGGGUUUUAAGUGAUGUUGUCGCGAGGUUGCUUUGUGGUGCGAGGGCAUACGCUUUACUUCAGAGGUGUAAUCCAUCAUUGUGUCAAAAUGGGACAGUGGUUGCUGUACUGUGGCUUGGACUAAUCCUUGACGGUUAAGCAAUUUAGACCAGAGGCCUUGGUACAUUGUUUGAUGUCUGUUAAACGCCAAGGUAAUGUAUUUUCCGCCCUGAACCAGAAGAUAUGAAAGGACCACUGGAGAAAGCUGAUCAUCCUUGGCCAUGGUGUGAUGAAAUCUUCUAUUUGUACUAUAGAAAUGUUAGAAUUCUACAUAAAUGAGAGAACUGAUCAUCCUUGGCCAUGGUGUGAUUAAAUCUUUUAUUUGUACUAUAGAAAUGUUAGAAUUCUACAUAAAUGAGAGAACUGAUAGUAUACGUAUUGACUUUGUCCUUGGCAAGGACUCUUGCAGCAAUCUUUCAACAAUCACAUUUUAGUGGGACCACCUUUCAACAACCACAUUUCAGUGUGGAAGUCACUUUGGUUAGUAUUUAGUAUUCCCUAAUGAUAAUAAACCAAAAACUUUA